rnacentral:lncRNA from 1 species
GCUGCCUCUGGACAAAGCUCUGCAGAGGAGCCCCAUCUCCUUCAGCCCCCUCCUGCCUUUGGGGUGCAAGUUUCCUGAAGGACUUGAGUGAGAUGUCACCAAGCAACAGGCUGUCAGGCUCUUGGCAGCAAGUACUGGCCCAGCGACUCGCGGCAGAGUCUCUCCUUGGGGCGUCUGUCCUUAUCAGGGGUGGAUGCUGUCAGACUUGCUAAUGGUGGAAUUUCUGGCAUGUGGCAGGUGGGUAAAAGAGACCCCUGGGGCCAAGUGCAGUGGCUCACACCUAUAAUCCCAGCACUUUGGGAGGCUGAGGCACGAGGAUUGCUUGAGCCCAGGAGUUCAUCACCAGCCUGGGCAAUAUAGCCAGACCCGGUCUCCACAAAAAAAUUUUUAAAAAUUAGCUGGGCAUGGUGGCCUGUGCCUGUAGUCCCAGCUCUUUGGGAGACUGAGGCAGGAGGAUCAACUUGAGCCCAGAAGGUCGAAGCUGCAGUAAGCCAUGGUCAUGCCAGCGGAGUUGAGCCUGGACCACAGAGCAAGACACUAUAGGGAAGACAGCCAGGUGAAAAUGAAGGCAGAGACCAGAGUUAUGCAUCCGAAAGGCAAGGAAUGCCGGGGGCUGCCAGAAGCUGGAAGAGGCAAGGCAGGAUCCCCCACUAAAGGCCUUGGAGGGAGCAUGGCUUUAGCAGCACCUCAAUUUGGGAUGUCUAUUUUCCGGAACAGCGGGAAUAAGUGUCUGCUGCUGUAACUCCUGCUGCCCAGUGUGCCCUUCUCUCAUCCCUCCAGCUGGUCUCUCACUGCCUUCGAGCCCCAUCACCUGCUCGGGCUCCCCCUCUGUGUGUCCCCAGUUCUGGACACUUAUUCAGCAGACCUGUAAGUUUUGCUGGCCAGCCUAUCUCCCUGGCUAGACUGAAGGCUCCUUCAGGGCAGGCCUAACCUGUGCUAGGGCAGCAUGAUGCCUGGUACAGAAUAGGGGCUCCUUAGAUGUGGGGUAAAUAAAGGAAUGCAGACUCAUUUUAACUUGAUGUUGAUCUUACAUAAAGUGUGGGUGGAAAAGUAUAUCUGCUGGGCAAGCAUCUAGUGCAUCAAAUAACGAAUCCUAAAGUUAAAUGGAAAUUAUUUUUAGGUUGUCUGGGCAAAUAGCACAGAAGGUGGGGGGAAUCCAGAGAUAUGACCUCAGAUGUGACACAUGCAGACACACGACACACCACACAUACACACACACACACACACACACACACACGCAUAUGGGUACACACAAAUGCACCUUCUCUCUUCCUUCUGCCCCCACACUAGCAGCUCCUUCCUGGCUUCCUCCGCCCCUCACUCACACAAAGGGCCAAAGCAAAUACUUCAGCACUGAGUCCCCAGGGCCACCCCAGCCUCACAAGUCACUGUGCCCAAGGCCCUGAGGGAAGAACAGCUUGCUCACUAGUGCCUGAAGGAGGCUCCCAAGGCAGCCACCUUGUACACUGGAGACACUCCCAGCAGUGGGAGGCAGAUCAAGGCCAGGACACCGUUAAUGAAGCUUUGACUAGGGUGAGGCAUCUCAGGGCCAGCUGGCCUUGCUGCUUCUCACCCCACUCUAAGCCUUGAUCUGUCCACAUACUUGACCCUGUUAGAAUCUGGUGUCUGCCCCUCCCCCAUCCUGAUGUAACACAUCUCUGUAGCCUGAAGCCGGCCCAGUUCUUGGCUCAGAGCUACUGCGUCUGCAGCACAGAUCUGUCCCUGAGCACAG